rnacentral:lncRNA from 1 species
GAUGAGCUGUAAUUGCAGGCGUUUUCCAUGGUUAUUUUUUCCCCUGGAAAGAUAAAGUGAUACCUGUAAUUUCCCAAAAGAUACGCUCCAGGCUCCCAUCCCCAGGCAGAGGCUGAGUGGCCUUCAUUACCCGAGAAACAGGAGCUUUUCUUGCACCUUCCUGAGACCCGGCCCAGCUCAGCUGUGCUCACACCAGCAACUUCAUGGUUUCCUGUGACAACUGCACAUCAAGACUGUCUCCCUCUAACCCCAUUUCAGAAAAGACAAUGAGAGAGCAGCCAGAGGGGUGGAAAGGGGAGCACGUGACCCUGCAAGAGGCAGGGAGAGAGAGAACACUGCGUCCGCUCCCUUUUAGAGCAGCUCAAUAUAGAGAAUCCCUAACGAGGACUUCCAGGAUAUCUUAGGGACAGCAGAGCCUCAAGAUCCAGGGAGGAUCCUGGAUACCUGAGGAGUCACCACUUGGAGGAGAAUCUCCUGGAAGAACUGAUUGAUCAGCAACAUCUACAUUCAACUUGAGGCUGUGGAAGCAUGGCACCAGCAUCUUCUUGGCUUCUGAUGAGGCCUCAGGAAGCUUU